rnacentral:rRNA from 1 species
UACGUAGGGUGCAAGCGUUAUCCGGAAUUAUUGGGCGUAAAGAGCUCGUAGGCGGUGUGUCACGUCGGCCGUGAAAACCUGCAGCUUAACUGUGGGCGUGCGGUCGAUACGGGCAUCACUGGAGUUCGGCAGGGAGACUGGAAUUCCUGGUGAUAGCGGUGAAAUGCGCAGAUAUCAGGAGGAACACCGGUGGCGAAGGCGGGUCUCUGGGCCGAUAACUGACGCUGG